rnacentral:rRNA from 1 species
CCUACGGGGGGCAGCAGUGGGGAAUAUUGCACAAUGGGGGAAACCCUGAUGCAGCGACGCCGCGCGAGUGAAGAAGUAAUUCGUUACGUAAAGCUCUAUCAGCAGGGAAGAAACACUGACCUUACGGUCAGCAGACGGUACCUGAGUAAGAAGCCCCGGCUAACUACGUGCCAGCAGCCGCGGUAAUACGUAGGGGGCAAGCGUUAUCCGGAUUUACUGGGUGUAAAGGGAGCGUAGGCGGUGCGCCAAGUCUGGAGUGAAAUGCCGCAUCUUAACUGCGGAACUGCUUUGGAAACUGGCGAACUAGAGUGCGGGAGGGGUAAGCGGAAUUCCUAGUGUAGCGGUGAAAUGCGUAGAUAUUAGGAGGAACACCGGUGGCGAAGGCGGCUUACUGGACCGUAACUGACGUUGAGGCUCGAAAGCGUGGGGAGCAAACAGGAUUAGAUACCCCAGUAGUC